rnacentral:pre_miRNA from 1 species
AGUGGGAUAGCUGGGUCAAAUGGUGGUUCCAUUCCCAGUUUUCCAAGGAAUCUCGAUUCUGCUUUCCAGAUUGGUUGCACCAAUUUGCAGUCCCACCAGCAAU